rnacentral:rRNA from 1 species
CACGUAGGGCGCAAGCGUUGUCCGGAAUUAUUGGGCGUAAAGAGCUCGUAGGCGGUCCGUCACGUCCGCUGUGAAAACUCGGGGCUUAACCCCGAGCCUGCAGUGGAUACGGGCAGACUAGAGGUAGGUAGGGGAGAAUGGAAUUCCCGGUGUAGCGGUGAAAUGCGCAGAUAUCGGGAGGAACACCGGUGGCGAAGGCGGUUCUCUGGGCCUUACCUGACGCUGAGGAGCGAAAGCCAGGGGAGCAAACGGG